AUUGUGACACGGCAGACAGAGACAGUGCUAGCAAAGAGAACAUGAGACACCUGAUGUUGACUGCUGCUCAAAAUUUGGAAAGUCUGAUUCCUUCUUUAGACUAUUUUAUGAGUAUUUCUCAUCAAAGGAUCUCUUCUUUUUAAGGAUCAAACCACAGACCUGAGUGUGCUUUCAGAUGAGCACUACCAAACUGAGGUUUUGAACAUGUUCUCCAUGGCUUGCGACCUUUAUAGUCACCACAUUCGCACAAGCUCCUGGCUCAACACGUAAAAAGACUUACUUUCAAGCAAUCCAUAAUCUUACUUCUCUUCUGGGAACAAAAUCUGGGAUUAUAUAUUGUCUUGUAUGGCAUUUGCUUUGGAGACUCUCUUUUCUACUACUUGUUGGGAAGAUCAUAAUUCCUUAUCCCUUUUCUUAAUCGAUGCAAAAUUAACUUUCCUCAAAAUCGUAUGUAUCCCAAAUAAGGUUCAAAAGAGCUGUGGGAUUAUGGGAUGAUGCUAUAGCAAAGCAGACAUAUUGCAUUUAUAACUGCUGAAAUUACCCCAAGGCAUUCCUUUUUAUGGGUUGAAUAUGUUCACUAUCUUGUAGUACUACUGAAAGAUUAAAAAAAUUAUAAUUAAGUAAUAUUAUGAAAUCCAUGGUAAUGAUAGCCUGAAUCCCCAAGUUGUAUUAUGAUUCUUGUGACAUUCCCAAGUUCAUUUAUUUUACAUUAAAUUUAUAAUGCUCAAACUGUGUCCAUAUAAGAGACAGAGCUGUUCCCAGG